UGAGUAAGUCAUGGUGGCACAAUGAAG
rnacentral:piRNA from 1 species